UAGGGAAUCUUCGGCAAUGGACGGAAGUCUGACCGAGCAACGCCGCGUGAGUGAAGAAGGUUUUCGGAUCGUAAAGCUCUGUUGUAAGAGAAGAACGAGUGUGAGAGUGGAAAGUUCACACUGUGACGGUAUCUUACCAGAAAGGGACGGCUAACUACGUGCCAGCAGCCGCGGUAAUACGUAGGUCCCGAGCGUUGUCCGGAUUUAUUGGGCGUAAAGCGAGCGCAGGCGGUUAGAUAAGUCUGAAGUUAAAGGCUGUGGCUUAACCAUAGUAGGCUUUGGAAACUGUUUAACUUGAGUGCAAGAGGGGAGAGUGGAAUUCCAUGUGUAGCGGUGAAAUGCGUAGAUAUAUGGAGGAACACCGGUGGCGAAAGCGGCUCUCUGGCUUGUAGCUGACGCUGAGGCUCGAAAGCGUGGGGAGCAAACAGGAUUAGAUACCCUGGUAGUCCACGCUGUAAACGAUGAGUGCUAGGUGUUAGACCCUUUCCGGGGUUUAGUGCCGUAGCUAACGCAUUAAGCACUCCGCCUGGGGAGUACGACCGCAAGGUUG
rnacentral:rRNA from 1 species